rnacentral:lncRNA from 1 species
GACAGGAACAGCGCAGACUGGCUGACUGGAAAGUCGGAGCGAACGCGAUCUCGGAACCCAAACAAAUAAAAAAAUUUUUUUUUUAAUCCCCCGAGUAAGCCCGCUCUUCCCGGAGGACGCUCACAAGCUGACGCAGUUCGGUUCGCGUCGACAUGGUGGCACUUGCGUUUUCUUCCUGCGCGGGACGGCCGAGUACCGAGUUGGUCUGCGGAAUUGGCGUGUGAAUCCUACAGCAGCACGAGUCGUAUUUGUUGCAUUUUUUGAACAGGCACAUCCAGUGGUUUUGGGUAUAUAUAUAUAUAUCUUUUUUUUUUUUCUUCUUCUUUCUUUCUUUUUUUUUCCACCGCUAAACCUGGAUUAAAACUUUUUUUUUUUUUUUUUUUUUGGAUGCUACGCAGUUUUUUCAGAGGACUCGAGGACUUAGCACUGCAUGGGGAAGUCUUCAAAACCCUGCAUCAGUCAUAGGCAUAUUUCUCACCAAAAAAGCGAACUUAGCGCUUUAUGAAGAUUGCGCUGAAUUAAUGAACUGGAUUAUCUGUCAAGUUUUGGGGAAUCAGAACGUAAUACUCCUGGACUAUUUGGAGAACCAGACGUAAAAGUUCUUCCGAACUGAUCUGACGGCGAGCAACAUGUACUUAUGAAGAUAUGUCUGGACGUUUCAAGUUGCAAUGUUUUGAGUUGUUCUUUUUCACUGCCUGUCCCGACACAAUGCUUGUCAUGCCAUAACGAUAAACUAUUUUUGCUCUUGUGAUGUGACUCUUCAGCAUCUCACUUUUAUUCAAACGGAACACCCCACCUGUUUUGAUGAGGUGAGCAUAGGAUCCCCGCUAGACUCCACUAAAGGUUCUGUGUGGUACACCUCCACCGGUUGGUUUUCUGUGCUUGUCUGCGUACAACAAAAAUGAAUUCGUAGAGAAGCAGCAGAAGUGUCAAAGCAGGCACAUUGUGCUGCUUCCACAGCCUUCCAGAGUUCCCAGCUUUGACUUGCUGAACCUGUAGAAAAUCCCCAACAUCAACCUGCAUGCUCGCAAACAUCAGCCUCUCUCCAAGUUUGAGGCUGAUCAGGAAGAACAAGCAGUCAACUUUUAGCCAUAUCAGUCGCUCUACCUUCGCCACUCACCAUACUGCACCAGAACAACUUGCUCUUAGUGGACCUUCUUGUUUGGCACUUGUUUGACCUUUUUGUUGAAGACGCUAGGCCUUUAUCCACUGCACCAUCCUGGAAACUGGAACUUUCCUGUGGCAGCAGCUGCAGAUACUCCUGACCUGUAGGUUGCUUUUGCCAAAAAAAAGCAUCUUGAGUGGGUCCAGAUCAGCCUGCAGCAGAGACAGAAGCACAAACGGAGCGAGAGGAAGGUCACUGGAGUUCAGAGCCUAAGACUCUGGGGUAAGUGAUCAUGAAAUAAAUAUGAAUGUUAUUAUGGAGCUGUGACUGGU